GAUGAACGCUGGCGGCGUGCCUAAUACAUGCAAGUCGAGCGAACAGACGAGGAGCUUGCUCCUCUGACGUUAGCGGCGGACGGGUGAGUAACACGUGGAUAACCUACCUAUAAGACUGGGAUAACUUCGGGAAACCGGAGCUAAUACCGGAUAACAUGUUGAACCGCAUGGUUUAACAGUGAAAGACGGUCUUGCUGUCACUUAUAGAUGGAUCCGCGCCGCAUUAGCUAGUUGGUAAGGUAACGGCUUACCAAGGCAACGAUGCGUAGCCGACCUGAGAGGGUGAUCGGCCACACUGGAACUGAGACACGGUCCAGACUCCUACGGGAGGCAGCAGUAGGGAAUCUUCCACAAUGGGCGAAAGCCUGACGGAGCAACGCCGCGUGAGUGAAGAAGGUCUUCGGAUCGUAAAACUCUGUUAUUAGGGAAGAACAAAUGUGUAAGUAACUAUGCACGUCUUGACGGUACCUAAUCAGAAAGCCACGGCUAACUACGUG
rnacentral:rRNA from 1 species